ACUUAUGUUUGAUUACAAGUAGGAUUUGCGGUUUGUUUUCUCUUUGCUCUUUACACAUGCAUGAGCUCAAACAUUCAUGAUUAUUCAGGUUUGAUUUCUGUUUGAUUUUGAUGUCUCUUUGAUUUUGAUUUAUGAGUAGAUGGAUUCUUUACCAUUUUCUAUUCAAGAUAAUACAAAUAGAAAUUACACAAAGAAAAAGAAUACAGACUCGUGUUCCUCAACGUAAUAACAAAUCAGAAAGAUCAUAAAUUUUAAAUUAAGUUGUUCAAUCUUCUAACUUCAACAAUAUUGUUUCUGGUCUCACAAAGUCAAAUCAAGGAUACAUAGAUUUUUUUUUAAUUUGUUACACAGUUCGGUUAUAUCCGAAAUAACCCGAACCCGAACUUUAAAAACCCGAAUCCGAUCCGAAGUAUAAAAUAACCCAAACGAUAAAAUAACCCGAACGUGUUAUGUACCUCUCCAUCCGAAAACCCGAAAACCCGAAGCACUCAAACCGAACCCGAAUGCCCAGAACUACGUAAAUCCAUGUAAAAUGGUAGAGCUAUUGUUAAAAUAAAUUUGCGUAGUUAAAGUUUGUAGUAAAAUAAUUAAUGAGUACUAAAACAAAUUCACAACAAAGUAGUAAGCAAACUUGUUAUCUUCUUCCAACAUGUCACAUAUGAUUUUUCACUAACGUUUCUUACAAAUAAUAAAGAGAAUUAGCAUGUGUAUCCAAACAUAACCUGCAUAUUUGCAAGGAUGGAUUUUUGGCUUUUGGAGUGACGUGUUUUUUUUAAUGGCGUUACUAUCCCUAUCAUACUAUAUCGAAGCCUAAUAUGUAAUAUUUGCCAAAACCUUAUAUUCUCUUUUAUGAUUACGCGUGAUGAGAGAGACGAUGCUUUAUCACUACAAUCGAUAAACUCUAAUGGCAGAAAUAUCUAUCUCAUCUCUAUCAAUCCCUUUGGUUUUUCCGUAGCACGUUUCCAUUUUCUUACAAUCUCUUUGAGUUCUCACCUCCUUGAUAUUUCUGCAACCGACGUUCUGACGGGUCCUCUAAUCGGUCGGAAAAGGAAGAUGAUAGGUUCAUAUAUAUUUGACCCCAACACACAGAGGAUUCAAUUUUUUCUCGCCAUGGUUCAUCUCCAAAUGGUGAUUUCGGUUCUGAAUUCUACAUCAGGAACUUCUCCGACCAUUUGCUUCGCAUCGAAAUCAUAGGUGGACCGUCGGAUUCUAAGUCUGAUGGUAAAGGUUGCAUGAGGAUUCUCAUUCGCUAGACAUGACUCUCUCUCACCAACUCCGUAUCCCAGAUCCGUAAUAAUCUCGCCUACAUCAAGGUCGAAAGGGUCUAUAAUGGGAGGGUCCAAAGGCUUGCGAAGUUCCAGUUUCCAGCAAAGAUCUCUAUAAAUACUGCAGAGAGGGCCAGACCAGUUUCAGCGAAGGUAUGUGUUUAUUUACUUAUCUAUGUGGCCGGAUACGUGUUAUAGUGACCGGUUAAGAUAAACAUUAUACGGCCAAGCAAUAUUAAUAAGCUCAUGUACGUUCUGUUUUCAUGUCUAUUACUGUACUAGUGGCAUUUUAGUUUCCAGCAAAGAUCUUACGGAUACUUCGAAGAGGACCAUGCCGAAAUUUAUAUCAAUAACAAGUUUUAGUUUAGCCGUUUUUAUCUAAAGAUAUUCGUCUCAGGUGCUAUCGGUUGUAAAGCAUAAAUUUGAAAUUAAUUAACUAUGCUUACAGUGUUAUAUCCGGCUAAAAAUCUUUUUAAUCAUAUGUGUUGAGAUUUGGUAAAGUUAA